CACGUAGGGGGCGAGCGUUGUCCGGAUUUAUUGGGCGUAAAGAGCUCGUAGGCGGUUUCGUAAGUCGGAUGUGAAAACUCCAGGCUCAACUUGGAGACGCCAUUCGAUACUGCGAUGACUUGAGUCCGGUAGGGGAGUGUGGAAUUCCUGGUGUAGCGGUGAAAUGCGUAGAGAUGUGGAGGAACACCAGUGGCGAAGGCGGCUUUCUGGUCUGUAACUGACGCUGAGGCGCGAAAGCGUGGGGAGCAAACAGG
rnacentral:rRNA from 1 species